rnacentral:rRNA from 1 species
CAGGCCUAACACAUGCAAGUCGAGGGGUAGAAGCAGCUUGCUGCUUUGAGACCGGCGCACGGGUGCGUAACGCGUAUGCAAUCUACCUUGUACAGGGGGAUAGCCCAGAGAAAUUUGGAUUAAUACCCCAUAGUGUUUAGAAGUGGCAUCACUUUUUUACUAAAGUUCCAACGGUACAAGAUGAGCAUGCGUCCCAUUAGCUAGUUGGUAUGGUAACGGCAUACCAAGGCUAUGAUGGGUAGGGGUCCUGAGAGGGAGAUCCCCCACACUGGUACUGAGACACGGACCAGACUCCUACGGGAGGCAGCAGUGAGGAAUAUUGGUCAAUGGUCGCAUGACUGAACCAGCCAUGCCGCGUGCAGGAAGACGGUCCUAUGGAUUGUAAACUGCUUUUAUACAGGAAGAAACCCUCUCACGUGUGGGAGCUGACGGUACUGUAUGAAUAGCAUCGCACUCGGG